rnacentral:rRNA from 1 species
AUUGAACGCUGGCGGCAUGCCUUACACAUGCAAGUCGAACGGCAGCGCGGACUUCGGUCUGGCGGCGAGUGGCGAACGGGUGAGUAAUACAUCGGAACGUACCCUGUUGUGGGGGAUAACUAGUCGAAAGAUUAGCUAAUACCGCAUACGACCUGAGGGUGAAAGUGGGGGACCGCAAGGCCUCACGCAGCAGGAGCGGCCGAUGUCUGAUUAGCUAGUUGGUGGGGUAAAGGCCCACCAAGGCGACGAUCAGUAGCUAGUCUGAGAGGACGAUCAGCCACACUGGGACUGAGACACGGCCCAGACUCCUACGGGAGGCAGCAGUGGGGAAUUGUGGACAAUGGGGGCAACCCUGAUCCAGCAAUGCCGCGUGUGUGAAGAAGGCCUUCGGGUUGUAAAGCACUUUUGUCCGGAAAGAAAUCGCGCUGGUUAAUACCUGGCGUGGAUGACGGUACCGGAAGAAUAAGCACCGGCUAACUACGUG